UGAAUUGCAGAAUCCCGUGAACCAUCGAGUCUUUGAACGCAAGUUGCGCCUGAAGCCAUUAGGCCAAGGGCACGUCUGCCUGGGCGUCACGCAUCGCGUCACCCCUCCUCCAAAUUUGGUGGAUGGGGUG
rnacentral:rRNA from 1 species